AUAAAUUGUUCUUGCUUAUUGUGCCAUUCUCAUUUUUUAAUAUUUUUAUAAAUAUAUAUUUCUGUCACUUGCAUUUAAUAUCACUUUUUUGAGAAAUAAGCGUCUGUCAUUACCAUCAGAGCUCUCAUUCAAAUGGAACCGGACCUCUUUCUCAGAUGGAAAGGGAUGAUCAACACGUAGCAUAAUGUAAACCAAAACCAACCAAAACUUGCUUUCAGCAUCUUUUCUACAAAACACAUAGCAUACGCACCAAAGGACACGAUUGGACGAUGACCGACGUGUGGCAAACAUGGGUAAAAGCGUCAUCUCACUGUACCAAGCAGUAAGACCACAGGAAACAAAGAAGACACUAAGGGGCAUUUUAGCCAUUACACUGCUCGUAAACAGUAUUUUCCACCGGGUUUUAGUAUAUAGAUAAUUUCUUCCAAUUCCUAAUUUAGACAGAAUCAACGCCUAUUCUUCUUUGGCUGGGCUUUCUUCGGGUUUCUGUUGCAAGAAAGAACACCAAGGGCUUUUGAGGAUAACCAUGAUCAAUAGGUAAUUUAUGCAAGUAAUUUUCUUCUUUGUCGACAUCUCGAACCACGGAUGCGCGUUGUCCUAUUUCAGUAACCAAUGGUCUUCUUCUCUGCGGAACAAAGGCACCAGUUUAGGUGGACUUUGCUUCUUCUUCUUCUUUAUUGUCAGCAACCCAUCUUCUUCUUAACUCCAAAACGACGGCUGCGAUGGGUUUGUUUUUUCUUUGCUAGAAGCAUCCUUCUUUGUGGUGUGACUUCUGUCUCCGACUUUGUGCCAAAUUCUUCGAAAUGAGCUCCUAAAACGGAGCAGCAGCAACCAUUUCAACUUCAGCAGCCAUUGCGGUUGUUGUUCUCACGGCAGAGGACUUCGUUCAUGACCACCUUAUUUUAUGCCGUAGGUGAGAAAAUGGAUCAUGCUGUGUCGUUGGGCUUGCAGAUCGGAGGAUGACGUGACUGUUGUUGCCGUCGGUGUUGUUGAAGUGGUGGUGUUCGGCGGCGCUCUCUCUGGGCAGAGAGGUAAGAUGCAAAUAGGUUGGGCAAAGAUGCUUGGUGGCGCUCUCGUACAUACGUGGCUGCUAUUGCCUCAUUUCGGAAACCGCCCUUGCAUCGUUGAUGAAUUUCAGAACCAUUGUUAGGCACAAUGGGUAGGCAUUGUUCCUCCAUGAAAAUCAGACUUCCAAACUUCUUUGGGCACCACAGGUUGUAGGGUGCUGAUGACGGCGAAAGCGCAGCGACGGUAAUGCUUUUCUUUGUUGAUGCCGCUGCUGGUACUAGGAUCUUGACGAAGGAUUGUAGAGAAGUCGAAGGUGUCGACAACGUGGCAGCGGCGGCUGUUGAUCCCAUAUAGGCUUCCGUCUGACGUUGGCGGUUGCUAGCGUAUAGGUUCGUGUUGCUGGCCAAAGUUUACUCAAGAUGACACUUGCCUACAAAAUAAAUUUACUGGAGAGAAAAUGAAGAGACAAGAAACAUAGGUUUUGUACCUUCUGAUUGUUGCUUGUAGUUUGCUCUGCUUCCUUGAAAGACUUGGUUUGAAAUCGCAGGUAAGGGAAUUACUUCGUCUUCUUUCCCAGCAGUACUUCGUUGCUUCUUUCCUCUCUCAAUUCCUCUCUCAAUUUCUACAGCGUACCUCCUCUUGUUUUUUUCUUCCCAAUUUUCUUUGGAUUAAUGCCUUUUAGGCGAACGGUGGAAACAGAAGUUGUGGUUAGUGGGUGAGUGCUACCACGUACUCUGUGGGAUAUCCGUAUAAAACCACCCACGUCUCUAGGUGUGAAGGGAUUUUAUUAUCCCACUUUUUAUAUAUAUGGGAUAGAUCAAGGGACAAAUAUUUUUACAAAUACUUUUACACUUUUUUUUAAGUCUUUUGAUUACAUGACAUCUAAUGGUUCUUAUUUAUUCAUUAAAUGACAUGCUUAUAUGGAUUUUAACUAAUAUUAAAGAUAAAAUAAAAUUAAAAAUAAAAAUAAAAUCUGGAAAAUUAAAAAUAUAAUUAAAAAAGGAAGAUAAUUUAACUGAAUUGGUUCUUCCAUUCCCAUUUCGAUCAAGACUUGGAUUCAGACUUUGUAUUUUCUUUCAUCUUUAGUUCCCGAUUACUUGAAUUUUAUAUUUUCUGAGAUCAGUUCCAGUUGGAGCGAGUUCAAAUGCUGGAAAGAAGCAUUUAUGGAUGACUCUUGAAUGACUCCAUCAAUAUAUGGGUUCAAUUACAAAGGAGACAUUUGCAGGUGAAUGUGCUUAUUUUCAACUGGGUUUAUGAACAUUUUAAUGAGAGACUGAGAAUCUUGCUGGAUGAAACACGCACUCCCUCUUUUACAUCUGAAAACCCACAAACCCCUAAAAUCGCUAACCUUCAAGAACGAUUUGGACUGCCAUGUUAUGGACUUCCAAGAGAUUAAAAGCAUAAAAGUAAAAAAGGGCAUUUCAGAGAUGAAGCAUCAGGCCACGGCAUCGCAAUAUUCUAAUUGGGUUUCUACUGCAGUUUUAUUUUAAUUUUGUUUUGGUUUUGGAUUGCUUUGCGAUAUUUGCGGUUUCCGAUUGACUCUCUUGGAUUGUUUUUUGUGACAUACAGUUUUACUUUUAUUUUCAGAGCCUUUGUUAGAGAUGAAAAUUUGAAUAAGAAGAAGACGGCAAGGAAUUUCUAAGUAAUUUUUUCGUUUCUUUUUUAUUUUUCUGAAUAGAUUAUUUUUUUAGUCUAUGAUUGGAUGCAAGUGUUCCCAAGCAAAUACUGAAAAUUUUAAUCACUUUCUUAAAUUUAUGUCCAUUUUAUAUACUGAUCUAUUUGUAAAAAGUUAAUUUGAUAACAAUGUAAAGUAGUGUAUUUAUAUGUGAAUUUGUUA